GUGUUGUAUGAAAGGAGAGAAGGUUAGCACUCCCAUUGACAAGGAUGGAAGAGGCUUCGGCCUGCAACACGCAUACGGUUAGGGGCCAGGCGGUGGCGCUAGAGGUAAGGUGCCUGCAUUGCCU